rnacentral:rRNA from 1 species
CCUACGGGAGGCAGCAGUGGGGAAUUUUGGACAAUGGGCGCAAGCCUGAUCCAGCAAUGCCGCGUGAGUGAAGAAGGCCUUCGGGUUGUAAAGCUCUUUUGUCAGGGAAGAAACGGUCUACUCUAAUACAGUGGGCUAAUGACGGUACCUGAAGAAUAAGCACCGGCUAACUACGUGCCAGCAGCCGCGGUAAUACGUAGGGUGCAAGCGUUAAUCGGAAUUACUGGGCGUAAAGCGUGCGCAGGCGGUUAUAUAAGUCAGAUGUGAAAUCCCCGGGCUCAACCUGGGAACUGCAUUUGAGACUGUAUGGCUAGAGUGUGUCAGAGGGGGGUAGAAUUCCACGUGUAGCAGUGAAAUGCGUAGAUAUGUGGAGGAAUACCGAUGGCGAAGGCAGCCCCCUGGGAUAACACUGACGCUCAUGCACGAAAGCGUGGGGAGCAAACAGGAUUAGAUACCCUGGUAGUCCACGCCCUAAACGAUGUCUACUAGUUGUCGGGACUUAAUUGUCUUGGUAACGCAGCUAACGCGUGAAGUAGACCGCCUUGGGGGAGGUACGGUCGCGAGAAGUUAAACGUAACGAAAGUAAGUAGUAGACGNGAGAGACGACGACGACGACGACGGAGGAGGGAG